rnacentral:rRNA from 1 species
GCGGCAACAGCUCAAAUUUGAAAUCUGGCCUCUUGGGGUCCGAGUUGUAAUUUGUAGAGGAUGUUUCGGGUACCGCCUCGGUUUAAAUUUCUUGGAACAGAAUGUCAAAGAGGGUGAGAAUCCCGUCUUGGACCGGCGGUAGGGCCUAUGUGAAACUCCUUCGACGAGUCGAGUUGUUUGGGAAUGCAGCUCAAAAUGGGUGGUAAAUUUCAUCUAAAGCUAAAUAUUGGCCAGAGACCGAUAGCGCACAAGUAGAGUGAUCGAAAGAUGAAAAGCACUUUGAAAAGAGAGUUAAACAGUAUGUGAAAUUGUUGAAAGGGAAGCGCUUGCAACCAGACUUGAGCGCGGCGGUUCCCCCUUGCUUCUGCUUGGGUUACUCCGCCGUGUCCAGGCCAACAUCGGUUCUGGGGGUCGGUCAAAGGCUCUGGGAAUGUAUCUACCCACGGGUAGACUUAUAGACCAGGGUGUCAUGCGACCUCCCGGGACCGAGGAACGCGCUUCGGCUCGGAUGUUGGCGUAAUGGUUGUCAGCGACCCGUCUU